UACGAAGGUGGCAAGCGUUGUUCGGAUUUACUGGGCGUACAGGGAGCGUAGGCGGUUGGAUAAGCCCUCCGUGAAAUCUCCAGGCUUAACCUGGAAAGUGCAGAGGGGACUGUUCAGCUAGAGGAUGGGAGAGGAGCGCGGAAUUCCCGGUGUAGCGGUAAAAUGCGUAGAGAUCGGGAGGAAGGCCGGUGGCGAAGGCGGCGCUCUGGAACAUUUCUGACGCUGAGGCUCGAAAGCGUGGGGAGCAAACAGG
rnacentral:rRNA from 1 species